rnacentral:tRNA from 1 species
CCCAGGUUGGUUCAGUGGGUAGAGGUUAGGGCAAGUAACCUUAAGAUCCCGGGUUCGAAUCUCGCCAGAGGCA